rnacentral:rRNA from 1 species
UACGAAGGGGGCUAGCGUUGCUCGGAAUCACUGGGCGUAAAGGGUGCGUAGGCGGGUCUUUAAGUCAAGGGGUGAAAUCCUGGAGCUCAACUCCAGAACUGCCUUUGAUACUGAGAUCUUGAGUCGACGGAGAGGUGAGUGAACUGCGAGUGUAGAGGUGAAAUUCGUAGAUAUUCGCAAGAACACCAGUGGCGAAGGCGGCUCACUGGCCCGUAACUGACGCUGAGGCACGAAAGCGUGGGGAGGCAAACAGGA